UACGUAGGGUGCAAGCGUUUGUCCGGAAUUAUUGGGCGUAAAGAGCUCGUAGGCGGUUUGUCGCGUCUGCUGUGAAAACUGGAGGCUCAACCUCCAGCCUGCAGUGGGUACGGGCAGACUAGAGUGCGGUAGGGGUGACUGGAAUUCCUGGUGUAGCGGUGAAAUGCGCAGAUAUCAGGAGGAACACCGGUGGCGAAGGCGGGUCUCUGGGCAGUAACUGACGCUGGAGGAGCGAAAGCGUGGGGAGCGAACAGG
rnacentral:rRNA from 1 species